UAGGGAGUCUUCCACAAUGGGCGGAAAGCCUGAUGGAGCAACGCCGCGUGUGUGAAGAAGGGUUUCGGCUCGUAAAACUCUGUUGUUAAAGAAGAACAUAUCUGAGAGUAACUGUUCAGGUAUUGACGGUAUUUAACCAGAAAGCCACGGCUAACUACGUGCUAG
rnacentral:rRNA from 1 species